rnacentral:rRNA from 1 species
UACGGAGGGUGCAAGCGUUAUCCGGAUUCACUGGGUUUAAAGGGUGCGUAGGUGGGUCUGUAAGUCAGUGGUGAAAUCUCCGGGCUUAACCCGGAAACUGCCAUUGAUACUAUCUGUCUUGAAUGCCGUGGAGGUAAGCGGAAUAUGUCAUGUAGCGGUGAAAUGCGUAGAUAUCGUUUGGAACGCCAAUGGUGAAAACAGGUCGCUGGGGAUGUGCUGACGCUGAGACACGAAAGCCAGGGGAGCAAACGGG